rnacentral:rRNA from 1 species
UACGAAGGGAGCUAGCGUUGUUCGGAAUCACUGGGCGUAAAGCGCACGUAGGCGGAUGUGUCAGUCAGGGUGAAAUCCCGGAGCUCAACUUCGGAACUGCCUUGAUACAGCACAUCUGGAGUCCGGAAGAGGUGGGUGGAAUUCCUAGUGUAGAGGUGAAAUUCGUAGAUAUUAGGAAGAACAGCCAGUGGCGAAGGCGGCUCCACUGGCCCGGUACUGACGCUGAGGUGCGAAGGCGUGGGAGCGAACGGG